GUGGACACAGAAAGCGAAUUCUAGAGUGUUUUAAGGCGAGCAAGGGCGUCGUGCGAGCGGCCUCGGGCCCGGGGCGGCCUGCGACCCGUCGUGAGCCGCGGGCGCCGCGAGAAGCCGCACUUCGCUCCGAGACAUGGCACAGAUCAGCCGGGAAACUCUGAAGGCGAAAAUAUCUGCCAUCCUCAAAGGAGCAGACCUCGAAACUCUCUCAGCCAAGAAAGUGCGGCAGCAGCUCGAACAAGAGCUCGGGGUUGACCUCUCUGACCGGAAGAAGGAAAUAGACGCAAUUAUCAUGGCUGAUGUUGAGGACCAGGUUAACUCCCACUCUGAGGAGGAGGAGGUGUCCGAGGAGGAGACCAACAAGGGCAAGGACGAGUCGGAGUCAGAGCCGGAGCCUGAUGACAAAGCAGGUGAUGAUGAUGACUAUGAGCCUGGUGCGAAGAAGCCCAGGAAGCCCAAGGCCAGCCCCAAAAAGAGGAGGGCUUCUGAUGAUGACGACUCCGACGAAGAGUGGGGCAAGAGGAAGAGGCAGAGUCCAGCAAAGAAGGGAGGUGGAGGUGGUGGGCGUGGCAAGAAGUCUGCCUUCACAAAGUCUUUCAAAUUGUCUCCCGAACUCGCCGAUGUUGUUGGAGCUGAUGUAAUGCCCCGUCAUGAAGUAGUCAAGAAAUUGUGGGCUGUUAUCAAGGAGAGGGAACUGCAGGACCCUAAAAAUAAGCAAUAUGCUAUCUGUGAUGAUCAGCUCUUGAAAGUGUUCGGUGUAAAGCGCUUCCGUACAUUUGGCAUGAUGAAACACCUGAAGGAGCAUUUCCUCGAGGCAGCUUAAGAUUACUCCUCCUCCUAGGGACCUUUGUCAGCCUGCAAUGCCUAGCACACGUGGCAGUUGACCAUCCUGUAGCUGCCAGGCGUUUGGCCGUUCUCACAACCAGACCUGCUUAGUUGGAAACCCUCACAACCUAAGUUUUUUUUUUUUUUUUUUUUUCUCUUGAAUUAAUUUAUUAAUGUCUUUAUUUCAUUCGGCAUAAAACUGUCCAGAAAUGAGGGUCAGUAAUGUGCUAAAAAUUAAGUGGACAAAUUAUGAUUAUAUUCUUUAGUGUAAUGGAGAAUAAUUUUUUUUCCUUCUGUUUCCUUGUAAUCUCACUAGGGUUAGUGAGGAAGGUGUAUUGUUUACGUCAUGUAUAUUCUGUGGAGAGGGUCUAACUCUUCUUCCUAAGCAUUGUUUGGUGUGUGCCUUUUGUAUCUUAUUGUCAUCAGUGGAAUAUGCAUUAGUGGAUGUGCUUGUAAAAAGAAAAAAAAAAAAAUCUUUUUUUUACUUGGAUUUUUUUUUUUUUUUAUUACAGUUUAACGUCUUGUUCACAGAAUAGCGAUAUUCAUAUGGUCAAAUCUGCCUCCCCUCGUUUCCUUUCCUCUUUUUUAUUGUCUGAUGUGUUCAUUGUAAUGGAGAGUUAACUACACCUUAGCCAGCUCACUUCUUCAUAUAUAACAAAAACCAUUAAUCAUUACAUUCUUCUGUUUUGGACGAUAGCAUUGUAUAAUAAACGUAUUAUUAUGAUUUUUCUGUGGCUUAAAAGUAGAUAGGUCCUGCUUUUUAGGUUUACUUAUCAUUAUUUAUCGGGUUGCUGCAUUCCAACUAUAAGAAUGCUUUGUGACUUAAAAAAGAAAAAAAAAUCUUGGAGUAUGUGUAGGUUUUUGAGAGUUAUUUCGGAUUUUAUUAAUUUCAUUUCUAUAAUGUAAAAAGCCACAGAUAGUUUACAAAUAAAUAUUUAAAAAUUUGUCACAACAGUACAUCUUUUAAUAAAAUAUUUUGUAAAAAAAUAGGACAUGACUUGUAUUCUUGCCCUUAUAAUAGUAUUAUCCUCUUGUAUGAAAUUCUUGAAAGCAUGAAGUAAAUAAUUUUGAAAAGUGCUUUCAUUUAUUUUGAUCCCACUAAAAUGACCUCUACGUGCAUUGAAUUUGUACUUUCUUUUGUAUGCAUGGUCUUUUGAGUUUUCAAUUUAUGUUGAAGUAAAUGAUGUGCGUCCAGUGCAAAAUCUCGCAAGAUCAUGAAUGUAAGUCUGCUCACUGGUUGUUAUUUCAUAAUUUGACUUGAUAUUGCUAUUCUGAAUGAAAUAUCAGUACUACUUGUCAUGAAACAAUACUAAGGUGAAAUGUGGGAAUUUCCUCUAAAUUGGUACAUUUUACUUGCACCUCAAGUACUGCUUGCAUUAAGAGAUUACGAAGAAAGUCGCAGGGCUACCUGAUUUUUAGACAUUCUCAUUUAUUAUAGAAAAAUGAAUGAAUAGUCUUGCGUCCUGCAAAGAAAAUGAGUUGUGACAUUGUGUGGCACGGUAUUCAGUGUUCAUAGUCAUUUAAUAAAGGCUGAUAUUCAACAUAAAUUCCA